rnacentral:rRNA from 1 species
UACGAAGGGUGCGAGCGUUACUCGGAUUUACUGGGCGUAAAGCGCACGUAGGCGGAUCGAUCAGUCAGGGGGUGAAAUCCCCAGAGCUCAACUCUGGAACUGCCUUUUGAUACUGUCGAUCUGGAGUAUGGAAGAGGUGAGUGGAAUUCCGAGUGUAGAGGUGAAAUGCGCAGAUAUCAGGAAAGAACACCCGUGGCGAAAAGCGGCUCUCUGGAACGGUACUGACGCUGAGACGCGAAAAGCGUGGGGGAGCAAACAGGG